AUGUCAGCGAGCAGCACGCCGGUGGACGCCUCGGGCGAGCCGAUCCCAACGUCGUCGGUGCUGAUGGCGGCGUCCAAGCACAUCGCGGUGCGGUGCCGGCCGGAGAACGUGGCCUUCCUCAACUGCAAGAAGAAGGACCCCAACCCGGAGAAGUGCCUCGAGAAGGGUCGCCAGGUCACGCGCUGCGUCUUCAACCUUGCGUCCUAUAUUGAACUUGUUUUACCAUUUAGUGUUAGACGACGAGCUUGUAAGCAGAUUUUGUGCCUCUGUAUUUAG
rnacentral:rRNA from 1 species